GCGGCAGGCUAACACAUGCAAGUCGAGGGGCAGCACGGGUAGCAAUACCUGGUGGCGACCGGCGGAAGGGUGCGUAACGCGUGAGCAACAUACCCUAUACAGGGGGAUAAGCCAGGGAAACUUGGUCUAAUAUCCCAUAGGAAAUAGAUAAGGCAUCUUAUUUAUUUUAAAGCUUCGGUGGUAUAGGAUUGGCUCGCGUGACAUUAGCUAGAUGGAGGGGUAACGGCCCACCAUGGCAAUGAUGUCUAGGGGUUCUGAGAGGAAGAUCCCCCACACUGGGACUGAGACACGGCCCAGACUCCUACGGGAGGCAGCAGUGAGGAAUAUUGGACAAUGGAUGGAAAUCUGAUCCAGCCAUGCCGCGUGCAGGAAAGACGGCCCUAUGGGUUGUAAACUGCUUUUAUACGGGAGCAAUAAGGUCUAUGCAUAGAUUGAUGAGAGUACCGUAUGAAUAAGCAUCGGCUAACUCCGUGCCAGCCGCCGC
rnacentral:rRNA from 1 species